rnacentral:lncRNA from 1 species
AUGACAGCUUCUGUAAACCACGUGUGCGGGGAACAAAGGAGCUGGUGAUGCACCGGGUGGCCACAAGUGAGUGCUCCACGUGCUCUCCACACCACGCCCUGAGGUCCCCACUCUUCCUGCGGGGCCCACACUGCCAGGGGGACGGGGACCCUGUGUAUGGCAACUGCAGGCCUGGCUUAGCGGCUGCCCUGCUGUGGGCCCCUUCACAAAUCCCAGGGCUCCCUGGCCUUUGCUGGCUCUCCCGCCACCUGUGGGCAUGUGAUGUUUGCCUCCUUCUAAAUUUAUGCCUGUUUCCUCCCCAGCCCACACUCAGGAGGCUGACACGGCCUCAGGAGACCCAUGGAGCCAACUGGGUGGCUAAAUACAGCCAGAAUGGAUACCGAUCAUUUUCCCACUAAAACGAGAGCUGCCCUUGUCCCUGGAGGAGACAAUUGGUCAGCAGGUGUCCUCCCUCACUCUGAAGAAGACAGGGUGUUCACAGAAGGGUGGAAAUAGUGGCCGGGUACGUCACAUCUGAGCUGAGUGAACCUCCUGAGACUCCUGUCUCGUGUUGUCUCUGGGACUCAUGCUCCGCACGGAGGACCAGCCAGGUGGGGAAGAUGGAGACACUGUGGACGGUAGGAGCCAGGCUCCGUGGCAUCGGCAGCCGCUUUCCCAUCGCCAGCUCAUCUCAAUGGCACGUCUCAGGGACUCAGAAUACCGCAGGGCUGCCAAAGCACCGUUGCCCCAGUUGUCACCACAUAACUUCCAGGGGCACACUGCCUGCCAGAGCCCGCACAACACACACACUGUGUUCCUGCAACCAAAACCCCCAGGCCCGGAAAUCAGAGACGCACCUUCCCGGGACAUGGUCCCUGGCACGCGCCUCCCCGGCAACAGCCGCUGCUGCACAGGCCUGAAGGCAGAUGCAGCGCUCCGUCCUCUACAGGGUCCAGCAGGUAGCAGGAAACACCUUUCCCGCCUGCAGGAAGUACUCCCUCUGACCGUUUCUGCAAACGGUGAAGAGGACCUGAAGGAGUCUGUAACUCCCCCAGGAUGACGGCAGGCACUGAAUACAGAGCCAAGNNNNNNNNNNNGGGCUGCCGAGCAGCGGGGCCCAGAGACUUCCCGGAGCCCAGGCUCCUUCCGCUCAGCUCGCCUCACGGCAGGCCGUUCCACCAAGGGCCAGGAGUCAGGGCCACGAGUAGCGGCCUCACUGGCCGAGCCAGCAGACGAGCAGAGGGCCGACGAGAGUCCUCCCGAACCCUCUGGCCUGGGGUUUGACUCCUGUGUCUCUUACGGUGCAGAGACUGGGAGGUGAGGGGCCUUCUAAAGUGCUAAAGGCCACAGGCUGCUGCAGACGCUUCCUGCUUCCAGCCGGACUCUGAAUGGACGGCUCAGGGGCUCACCCCCUGCAGCCAUGCCCCGCGGGCUUGGCCGCGGGUCUCCUGAGAGCUGACACUCGGGCAAGGGGGCAGAGCUCAGGAGCCAGCCACUCCAUACACCGUGGGCCUCCUCCCUCUAGCGAGCGGCUUGCAGACAAGGCAACAGAACACAGACGUGAAAGGGAAGGAGCCAGAUCCGGCCUGAGUCAGACGUGUGCUCUCCCGAGACAAGAAGGCAGAAAGCGAAACGCCCAACGAGCAAAAUGCUGCAGAGGGCACCCUCUGUGAUGCAGAUUCUCAUGUUACGGAUG